AACGAACGCUGGCGGCGUGUUUAAGACAUGCAAGUCGCACGGUGUCAUUUUGGUAGCAAUACUUGGAUGGCACAGUGGCGCACGGGUGAGUAACACGUGAAUUACAUGCCCUGUAGAGGGGGAUAGCCCAGGGAAACUUGGAUUAAUACCCCAUGGUCUCGCAAGAGUAAAGGUGGCCGCAAGGCUGUCGCUACAGGAUUGGUUCGCGCCCUAUCAGCUUGUUGGCGGGGUAACGGCCCACCAAGGCUACGACGGGUACCUGGUCUGAGAGGACGAUCAGGCACACUGGAACUGAGACACGGUCCAGACACCUACGGGUGGCAGCAGUCGAGAAUAAUUCACAAUGGGGGCAACCCUGAUGGUGCAACGCCGCGUGGAGGAUGACGGUCUUCGGAUUGUAAACUCCUGUCAUCCGGGAGUAAGACCUGGGCAUGAAUAGUGCACAGGGUUGAUAGUACCGGAAGAGGAAGGGACGGCUAACUUCGUGCCAGCCGCCGCCGUAACAC
rnacentral:rRNA from 1 species